GACGAACGCUGGCGGCGUGCUUAACACAUGCAAGUCGAACGGAAAGGCCCUGCUUUUGUGGGGUGCUCGAGUGGCGAACGGGUGAGUAACACGUGAGUAACCUGCCCUUGACUUUGGGAUAACUUCAGGAAACUGGGGCUAAUACCGGAUAGGAGCUCCUGCUGCAUGGUGGGGGUUGGAAAGUUUCGGCGGUUGGGGAUGGACUCGCGGCUUAUCAGCUUGUUGGUGGGGUAGUGGCUUACCAAGGCUUUGACGGGUAGCCGGCCUGAGAGGGUGACCGGCCACAUUGAGACUGAGAUACGGCCCAGACUCCUACGGGAGGCAGCAGUGGGGAAUAUUGCACAAUGGGCGGAAGCCUGAUGCAGCAACGCCGCGUGCGUGAUGACGGCCUUCGGGUUGUAAACCGCUUUCGCCUGUGACGAAGCGUGAGUGACGGUAAUGGGUAAAGAAGCACCGGCUAACUACGUG
rnacentral:rRNA from 1 species